rnacentral:rRNA from 1 species
GACAAUCUCAGACCUUGCACCGAUCAUGAACUGGGUGUACCUCGAUGCGCGACCCCUAUCUAGACGAGGUACCUCUAGCAGUCCUCGUCACGGUCAUGCUACACGUAAAGAUUGUGAUAAAGCAGGGUAUUGGUAAUGAGGCCCCAAUGUUGUCUGUGUCAGGAUCCUUUGUAGGGCACAACAGAACCAUAGCUUUACAUCAAGGUGCGCGAUACC